GUCAGUUUGGCCGAGUGGUUAAGGCGAUAGACUGUAUGUGCUCCCUAGUUUCCGAGUUUCCAAGUCUCCGAGUCUCAUGUAACAACGUACUAACAAUACCUCUUAGUGAAUCGUGGAGUCACUCCAUCUUGUCACAAUCUAUUGGGUUCGCCCGCGUAGGUUCGAACCCUGCAGCUGACG
rnacentral:tRNA from 1 species